ACCCUCCCUUGGAGGCUUCCCUGUGCCCAGCGUAUUCUUUUCUUUUUAUAGUCACGGCUUCACGUCACGCCGUUUUGCUUUGCUCCCCCCAAGAGCAUAACCACAGCUAAGCAGCCGCUUCUAAGAUUGUUAAACUCUGCGCAACAGCUACAAAAAUCCCCAGCAGUUUUUCCAGCCGGAUGCCCGACCGCCUCUACAACUCCAUGGCAAUAACAGUCCGCAUCGACUCCCAGAAUGAGCCGGGGCUGCCCGGACACCCACACUUCUGCCUGGCACCAUGGGCAAGGUCCCAGUUUAACUGAACCGAAAAGAGGACGAAGCGCACAGUGCAGGCUCUUCAGAGCAAAUCAAGGAUGAGAACUAAAGAGAAAUUGUCUCAAGUGUUCUGGGAGACAGUCUUUAAAGAAACAAGCAAAAAUGUCUUCUUAAAUCUGUUAAGAACUUGUGGAUACUUUCAGAGGUCUUGUAAUGAUGAAAAAAAAAAAGUUCCCUAAGGGACUUGGCAGGAGAAAAUACAUGUUCAUAGUCAAGGAACUAAACAAUUUAACAAAUUGGAGUGGUGUAAGGAAGCUUUUACCUCAGCUCAUCAAAGUGGUGGUAAAUUGACUGAGUUUUUACUAUUUUACAUAUUCUAUGCCUUACAUGACACUAAUUAGCUAUUUCAGUGUGCAGAGGUCCACCCAAGAAAUCACCAGCAAAGCAGACCCUAAUUGGCAUUCUUGUUCACAAUCUAUGUAGAAAGCAUCUAUUUUCUAGCACUAUGUGGACACAGAAGUCACACACAACUAUACCGCUGAUUACACUGCAACAUUUAAAGCAAAAAUGAUGGUGAAGCACAGACAGACUUUGACUGCCCCUGCUGAUGCAACUCAGCGCUUAUCUUCUCUUUUCUGAACCAUUGUCUUCUAGCCUUGUUCUAAAAUAAGAAAGAAAUUAUCAUUGAAUAAAUGUAUUUUUCCUUUCUCCAUUUGGAAUGUUAUUCCAAGAGUCAAAAAGCUGUUUGUUUGUUUGUUUGUUUUUAUUUAAAGACAAUUCCUCACAAGAAUAAGCAAUAGAGCAGUUUGAAGGCACCUUCUUGGUAUUUUGGCCACACACCCUAAAGCUUAAGAAACACAAAAGAAUACUUAAUUUUCCAUCUAUUUAGGGAAACCUGUAGUUUUGCCUCAGGAACAAAACUGCUUUGUGUCAUACCUGAAACAUCCAAAUUGGAAGACCUUCUAUCUGCUAGUUUUCCUAACAGAUUUACAUCUUUGAAAAGGCUUCUGAUGAAGAAUUUUCUUUUCCUAGACCAGCAAUUGAAUUGUUAACAGUGCAUUUGAUCAACUAGAAAUAGAUUAUAAAAAAAAUACACUUGAAUGGAAGCAGCUGAUGGACAUUCUUUUCCUGCUCAAAUCCAUUUUCUGUGUGCAUCCCCUAAAAAUGGACUACUUGAAAGUACUGGAAUAUAAAUUGCUCGUUGACAAAAUUUCUGCCAUGCCAUAAAGACUUGUCUUGCAAGAACUGAUAUUUCAAUCAGGUUUUAAGAGAGAUAUCAUGAUAUCUUAUAUCUACCACUAACUCCAACAAUACUGUGAAGAUCGGAGUAAUAAAUAGUUCCAGCUUCCAAGAGUAAGAAAUCUGGAAAACUUUGUAAGGAUAAGAAGAGAGACUGAAGAGCACUUGGAGGGACAGGGGGAAAAGGAGGAGCCUGCAAUCAUAUCGCCCAGAACAAGGACGGGCAUAAGGGCAGAACAGCAACGGGGUGCACAAAGUGGAUGCUUGAAGCUGAGAAUGACACGUGUAAUUAAACCAAGCAAAUAUUUUCAGAACAAGAUCUAGCUAAGUUUUUAUUUUUUAUUUUUUAAUCUGCAUGGGCAUUUAGCUUCUCAAGUAAAUUUAUUUUGCCUAAGGUCUGCAAGCUCUGCUAUUAAAAAGUCUGUGCAACAAGCAGUGAAAAUUUUAUUCAGACUAAAGGGCUUGAUAGGACCAUUCAAACAUUUCACACUUUAAUAAAUUGAAAGAGGAAAUAAAGUCACAAGCAUCCACUUCAAUUUAUAUGUGUGGUCCUUCUGCGUUUGCUAUGCCAAUGAGAACAGGUGGUAUCUUGAAGGAAAUUCUUACUAUUACACUGUUGCUCAUGACAAAAUGUUUUGGGUACUCUCCUAUGAACAGGACAGGAUGAAAUUCAGCUGUUCCAGUCAAUCCAUAGGAAUGUCAAUUGUCACUCAUGAGAUAGGACAGUUCAAAGUCUGCCCUGUCUUACAGGGGUAGGGUAUAUCGAGUAUAGAAAUCCCUGUGCAGAAGACUGCAUUGUUACAGUGCAGCAAUGCAUUCAUUAAUUCUUCUUGCUGAGUUAUCAGAGUUCUAGAUCAUCUAGAUGUACCUAAGGAUACUUACAGAAGCUUUUUUUUUUUUCCUUAGUAGAGUGUUUUAAUAGAAAUUACUUUCAAAACAUACGAGUGCUCAUGUGUAUACAAAUUUCUAGGCAACGUACCUAAUUGUUUGCAGAAUUUGAAUUACUAUUCAAAUUUUUUAAACUGUUAGAGAAAUGCUCUUAAUUUCAUAUGAAAUUCAAUCUGUUUCUGCAAAUGGAUAUAUAUCAUCUAUAUUCCACAGGCAGGAGAAAAUAGUUUUUUUCAUCCCAGGUUAAUGUCACUGUUUUAACCCACCUCUUCCUUGCUUUUAACUGAAGGUACAAGGAGUUUUAGGAGAACAUUCCAGUCCUGGGUUCAUGCUCCUGGAACAUGGUCUGCACUGAAAACCCUGCUUUUCUUUCACAAAUAUUUACCUGGAAAGUUGAAACUCUACCAUUCACUGCACAUCCGAUAUAUACCAGACAAAAGCAUGUCAGAUUUAGCAUUAUAAAAGCUGAUUUAUGAAAACAAGAACCUUUAUUGCACCAUGUUAUUACACUUGUAAUGCCUAUAUGAAACCCCAGUUGGAUAUUACAUUUAUUAAUGAUAAUGAACCAUCCUAACAUUGGUUAAGUACUAAAUAGAGGAGUAUUUUCUUGCCAGUGAUGAUGUUUACACUAGAAUUAAAAUGACAAAGGGCAAUUUACUGAAACUUUUUUUUUUUUUUGUUAUAGUUUGCAAACUAGAGAAACUCCAGAGAUCUGGCAAAUAAAAAUGUAAAGGUCAGUUUCUGUAAAUGAAAGCAAAAUAUACAUAGAAGGAAGGAAUUUUCGUGAAAAGCUGGGCCGCUGUGGACUAAUUGCUCAUUACUCUAAUCAUCCCUUAGGAAACAAGUAGUUAAUCCUAUUUCAAGACAUACAGCAGAGCUGAAAUGUAGGCAGAAUGAACAAGGCUUGAAUGUACUACAAAGGACCAUAUAUCAAAGGUACAAAGGACUCACUUCAUAGCUAAGGCAGGAACUGUAAAAAUCCAGUCUGGUUGAAGAAGACUGGGGAGACUUUCCCAGAUUUGCCUGUAGAGAGCUAAAAAUGUAUCUCCAACAGCAUCUUUAAGUGUGCUGCAAGAAAUCUCUAAUCUAUCAGUAAGAAUAAAUAUAACAUCACUCAUUCCAGCCCUAUCAAUGUACUACUUCUCUCUCAAGGGAGCCCCCUCACAAAGCGAGAUGGAAUAAGAUCAUGCUCUUUGGCCCUGGCAUCAGAAGCAGCGUGGUGAAAAAAGAUCUCCCCGGCUUUCGUUUGUUUCAAUUUUUAGCCAUAAAGUUGUACAGAGUUUUUUCAAGCAGAACAAAUGCAUGAUUUCUAUCCACAUGCUAUAUAAGUAGCAUGUGUUUUACAUAAAAGAUUUAAAGGAUCUGGUCUGGCAAUGUAAAGGUUUGCGGGGUCUUUUCAUUCACUAAAAGCAGGUACCAGAUCAUAUUAUCACUAACACAUAGGAACUGAACAUGACCACUAGAAGUGGCCAAUUUUUAAUGCACUAUAAUAUGAACAACAUAAUUUUCAAUUUUAAACUUCUUAUGUUCUUUUCUGGGUUGGAUUGCUCAGGUAUGGCCAAAUGCAGGCUGCAUCUCACUAGGAUUUUGGCUCAGAAAAACUGAAACAUCACCAUUGCAAGGGAUAGGAUCAAGGCAUGGCAUGCCUGUCAAAUACAGGAAUUAUUUUCCACAGUGAGUUUUCUGUUUGCUCUUUAUCCUCAAUUUUUUUGUGAUGGUACAUUUUUUUUAUUCUUUUUAUUUUUUUACAAAAAACGACAAUUUUCUACUAGACUGAAACAUUACAUAACACACAGAAAUGUUAAUUUAUUUUUUUUCCCAAUACCAUAAUACCUCCUGAAAGAUGUCAUGUUGUCUAAGGUGACUUGACCAGUGACACAGCAAUCUGCAUGGUAUGGAAUGAUCUAUAUACAAUUAUUUUGGAAAUGUGGAUAUAGGGUAUUUAACACAUUUUUAGAGUAUGUAGAAUAUGAAAAUAUUUUGUUAUGGUAGUCUCCAAAGACCUUUUACUGUCACACAGAGUAAUGUCAUUCUUUAAGCUUGUAUCACAUAAGCAUUACCGGAAGAAGAUAAAUCAUAAUAAAAACUGCCCAGCUGAAA